UACGUGAGGGGCGAACGUUGUUCGGUGUCACUGGGCUUAAAGGGUGCGUAGGUGGUUUCGUAAGUAAGGUGUGAAAGCCCUCGGCUUACCCGGGGAAUUGCGCCUUAUACUGCGAGACUUGAGGAUUUCAGGGGAAUGGGGAACUCCAGGGGUAGCGGUGAAAUGCGCAGAUAUCUGGGGGAAGGCCGGCGGCGAAGGCGGCUCACUGGCCCGAUACUGACGCUGAGGCACGAAAGCGUGGGGAGCAAACAGG
rnacentral:rRNA from 1 species